CCUACGGGAGGCAGCAGUGAGGAAUAUUGGUCAAUGGGCGGGAGCCUGAACCAGCCAAGUCGCGUGAGGGAAGAAGGUACUGAGUAUUGUAAACAUCUUUUGCCAGGGGACAAAGGCGGCCACGGGUGGCCGUAAGAGGGUACCUGGAGAAAAAGCAUAGGCUAACUCCGUGCCAGCAGCCGCGGUAAUACGGAGGAUGCGAGCGUUAUCCGGAUUUAUUGGGUUUAAAGGGUGCGCAGGCGGCGUGUCAAGUCAGCGGGAAAAUGUCGGGGCUAAACCCCGGCCGGCCUUUGAAACUGGCAUGCUCGAGUUGGUGAGAGGUAGGCGGAAUUCGUGGUGUAGCGGUGAAAUGCAUAGAUAUCUCGAAGAACCCCGAUUGCGAAGGCAGCCUACCGGCUCCACACUGACGCUGAGGCACGAAAGCGUGGGUAUCGAACAGGAUUAGAUACCCGAGUAGUC
rnacentral:rRNA from 1 species